UGGCCAGUGUUAAUCAUUGGAGCACUCAUGUUUAUUCCUGGAGCAUACCAUGUAAGAAUCGCUUACUACGCAUACAAAGGAUAUGAUGGAUUCUCUUAUGAUGAUAUUCCAGAAUUUGACUGAGGACUUUGUAGCUUUACUUUUUUUUAUGCAUUCCACAUGUAAAUAGACAUUCAACCUUCUGUGUUCUUCAUUUGAUGUAAAAGACUUCACUUGUUAUAGUUUGGUUAUUAGAACUAAGUGUAUUGUAACCAAUUGCAACAAAUAUGUUCACAAAUGAAUGAAUAAAUCUAAUAGCUAGUAUUCAAUUUAAAAAAAAAGAAAUCCACUUGUAAAACUUGUUUUGGAGAAGGUAAUGUUUUAUUAUAUUUUCCUUGUGUUAAUACAUGUACUGGUAGUUAUUAACUUCAUUAACAUCAUGAGUUAAGUGUGCAUUUUUUUAUAUUAUAAUAUUAAUAUCAAUUUUAAAUCAUUUUUACUAUCACAUAUUUUCUGAGAUUUUAUGAUUGUCUGAAGUCUUUGUAUCACAUAAUAACUUUUGAUGUUAUUGGUCUUUAUUUCUGUUUUAUUUUUCUAGUCUGUCCAUAUUUAUAUAUGCAUAUUAUUGUACAUCAUGCAUCAUGUGCAUUAAAGAGACUGAUCACUUCAUGUAAAGUGCAAUCAAUUAAACUGAUGUAUUUUUUGAUGUAAUACUUAGAAUUUUAGAAUUUGACUAAGCUGUUUUAACAACAGCUUUGACUUUCAGUGGGAUGUUAUUAUCUAUUUUGUUCAUCAAAACAGGCUGUCAAAUAUAAACCUUCUUUCUUCUAAAUUGCAAAAAGAAAGCUCAUUAAUAUUCAUAGUCUGUCAACCCCCCCCCCCCCCCAAGCAAGAUCUGCUCUGUUGUGUGAAAUUGACAUUGAUUUAACUGAAAUAAACAGCCCUGGAUAAAGUUGGGCAAGUGUCAUCAUGUUUUAUUUAAUAUUCAUAUCUGUUAGCCAAUGACUGAACAGUUAAUAAUGAGUCAAAUUGAAGUUAUGUCACAUACUGUCCAAAGUCCAAGUUCUUAUUAAAACAACUCUGUAAUAGUUUUGACUUAAGCAUUCCCUCACGCUGAAGGGGAUUAAUUCAAAUGUACCUUUACAAAAUUUAGUGUUUGAAUUCCUUUCGAGAUUCUUUUGUUGAUAUGGACACGUCAGAAAUUGGUUUCAAUUUCACGCGUACUCAUUGCCUGUAGGAAUAAUCUUGCCGUUGUCAGGAAAUGAGUUCUUACAACAAUUAUUUAAACGCAAUAAUAUUCUAUGUAGGCACCCAUGGCCUUUUGUAAUAAUAAAACAGUAUUUCGAU
rnacentral:misc_RNA from 1 species